GCUCUUGGGUGACGAGUGGCGGACGGGUGAGUAAUGUCUGGGAAACUGCCCGAUGGAGGGGGAUAACUACUGGAAACGGUAGCUAAUACCGCAUAACGUCGCAAGACCAAAGAGGGGGACCUUCGGGCCUCUUGCCAUCGGAUGUGCCCAGAUGGGAUUAGCUAGUAGGUGGGGUAACGGCUCACCUAGGCGACGAUCCCUAGCUGGUCUGAGAGGAUGACCAGCCACACUGGAACUGAGACACGGUCCAGACUCCUACGGGAGGCAGCAGUGGGGAAUAUUGCACAAUGGGCGCAAGCCUGAUGCAGCCAUGCCGCGUGUAUGAAGAAGGCCUUCGGGUUGUAAAGUACUUUCAGCGAGGAGGAAGGCGUUGUGGUUAAUAACCGCAACGAUUGACGUUACUCGCAGAAGAAGCACCGGCUAACUCCGUGCCAGCAGCCGCGGUAAUACGGAGGGUGCAAGCGUUAAUCGGAAUUACUGGGCGUAAAGCGCACGCAGGCGGUCUGUCAAGUCGGAUGUGAAAUCCCCGGGCUCAACCUGGGAACUGCAUCCGAAACUGGCAGGCUAGAGUCUUGUAGAGGGGGGUAGAAUUCAGGUGUA
rnacentral:rRNA from 1 species